rnacentral:rRNA from 1 species
UAAGACAGAGGGGGCAAGCGUUGCUCGGAAUCACUGGGCGUAAAGGGCGCGUAGGCGGGAUGGCAAGUCGGUCGUGAAAUCCCUCGGCUCAACCGAGGAGCGUCGGCCGAUACUGCCGUUCUUGAGGGAUGCAGAGGAGACUGGAAUUCCCGGUGUAGCGGUGAAAUGUGUAGAGAUCGGGAGGAACACCGGUGGCGAAGGCGGGUCUCUGGGCAUCUCCUGACGCUGAGGCGCGAAAGCGUGGGGAGCAAACGGGAUUAGAUACCCCGGUAGUCCACGCUGUAAACGAUGACGACUAGGUGUGGGGUGGUUCAGUCCAUUCCGUGCCGCAGCUAACGCAUUAAGUCGUCCGCCUGGGGAGUACGGCCGCAAGGUUG